rnacentral:lncRNA from 1 species
AGAAGCCUGAUGAACCCAGAAUGAGUGAGAUGUGGUAAGUUGUGCUUUAGGUUAGGGCGUCAUCUAACUGUUGGGCCAGAAAAUUUAAAGGGGAGAAGUGCAUCCUAAAGGGAGUUGCAGUUUCCUCGGUUCUGGUAGGACUACAAGUCCCAAUAUGCACCGCUCCCCCGGGCGACCUGAGUGUCUCUUGAGUAAAUGUGACCCUUGAAACGUCUACGUUAGCAGCUUAAUGGUUUCUCCAGCCUUGCGCGUGUUUCCAAGUCCCUAAACGGGAUGGUUUUUGAAAGGCUCGAACACUUGACAAGUAGGAAAGUGGUAUUUUCUUAGCCUAAGUUAUCUUAACACGUGAUUUGAAAUAGUGCUGGUAAUAACAACACACCAGCCCUGCAUUGAGCGUUUGUUUUGGAAAAGAACCUAGGAAUUCCAGAAUGAUCAGAGUCACAGCUACAAACUGAGAUUCAACUCUCAUUGUAUUUUGACACAAGUUUUGUAUUAUAAUUGACAAACAUCUGUUUAUAUGUCUCCCCCUGUAUACCGUAAGCCUCUUUGGAAUACAGAGGAACAGGACACAAGUCUGUCCUUAAUGUCUAGCACCGCACCAGUCCCACCCAUUCAGGGUGUUCUGUAAAUGUUGCAUGAAUGUGUAUAGAAACUCUCCAAAUAGGCCAGGCACGGUGACUCACGCCUAUUAUUCCAGAACUUUGGGAGGCCGAGGAGGGUGAAUCACGAGGUCAGGAGUUCGAGACCAGCCUGGCCAACAUAGUGAAACCCCCUUCUCUACUAAAAAUACAAAAAUUAGCCGGGCGUGGUGGCUCCCACCUGUAAUCCCAGCUACUCGGGAGGUUGAGGCAGGAGAAUCACUUGAACCCGGGAGGCAGAGGUUGUAGUGAGCCAAGACCCCCGUUGCACUCCAGCCUGGGUGACAGAGUGAGAUCCCGUCUCAAAACAAACAACCCUCAAAACUCUCCAAUAGGCCAGGCACGAUGGCUCACGCCUGUAAUCCCAGCACUUUGGUAAGUCGAGGUGGGGGCGGGGGGAUCACCUGAGGUUGGGAGUUCGAGACCAGCCUGGCUAACAUUGUGAAACCCAGUUUCUACUAAAAAUUAAAAAAUUAGCCUGGCAUGGUGGCACGCGCCUGUAAUCCCAGCUACUGGGAAGCUGAGGCGAGAGAAUCGCUUGAACCUGGGAGACGGAGGUUGCAGUGAGCCAAGAUCGUGUCAUUGCACUCCAGCUUGGGCAACAAGAGAGAAAGUCAAAAAAAAAAAAAAAAAAGAGAGAAAAGAAAAUAAAGAAACUCCCCCUUUUGUUGUAGUAUGAAGACUUCAAACUAUAAUAAUACUAGGGUGGGACGAGUACUAGUAAAUUUAUUUCCUUUUAUUUUUACUACAUUUUUUGCAAUGUACAUUUACUUUGUCUGACAAUAAAAAGCUACUUACGAGAUACUUUUUAGUUCAUAAGUGGGAUGAUUGUGUGUUCACACUUGUGUGAGACGUCCCUCCCUCAAACCUUGUUGCGCCAUCAUCUGCACAUUACCCAUCUGAUGUGGGGAAAAAAAAAAAACCCGAAACUUAUUUAAAAAAUGAAUUUCAUUAUGUAUUCCAGGCUUUUCAUAAGAUAAGGGACAAAACUUAAUUUGUCUUUUUUUAAAAUAUACUUAUUUUUUGAGGUCUAACAUACCUACAGUUUGUCUUUUAUUAUUUCAAAUUAUACUUCAAGUGCUUUUUAAUUUUAUAUUUUAGACCCAGAACCAGGAUUGUUGUACUUGUGUGGCUCCCACAUAAAUUCUGUGGCUGGUUCAUAAUUUAACAUGUUUACUCAUUCUAUUUUGCCCAUUUGUUAGUUUUGAAGAGCAUUCCACGUAUUAGAAUAAAACUGAGCAACAAGAUGCGGGGCGCGGUGGCUCACGCCUGUAAUCCCAGCACUUUGGGAGGCCAAGGCGGGCAGAUCAUGAGGUCAGGAGAUCAAGACCGUCCUGGCUAACACAGUGAAACCCCGUCUCUACAGAAAAUACAGAAAAAAAAAUUAGCCAGGCGUGGUGGCG